rnacentral:misc_RNA from 1 species
UCAAACUUGGUCAUUUAGAGGAAGUAAAAGUCGUAACAAGGUCUCCGUUGGUGAACCAGCGGAGGGAUCAUUACAGAGUCUCUGACUCCCAAACCACUGUGCACAUACCUGUUUUGUUGCUUCGGCGGGCCCGCCUCCCUCUCGCGGGGGCGGCUCCGGGCCGCAAGGCUGUCCGCCGGAGUACACGCUGAAAACUGUUCUGAAGUUGGCUUCUGAGUGGGAUAAACAAUACGUUUACAACUUUCAACAAUGGAUCUCUUGGCUCUGGCAUCGAUGAAGAACGCAGC